GAUGAAGAACGCAGCGAAAUGCGAUAAGUAAUGUGAAUUGCAGAAUUCAGUGAAUCAUCGAAUCUUUGAACGCACAUUGCGCCCGGCAGCAAUCUGCCGGGCAUGCCUGUCCGAGCGUCAUUUCUUCCCUCGAGCGCGGCUAGCCCUACGGGGCCUGCCGUCGCCCGGUGAUGGGGCUCUACGGGUGGGGCUCGUCCCCCCCGCAGUCCCCGAAAUGUAGUGGCGGUCCAGCCGCGGCGCCCCCUGCGUAGUAGAUCCUACAUCUCGCAUCGGGUCCCGGCGAAGGCCAGCCGUCGAACCUUUUAUUUCAUGGUUUGACCUCGGAUCAGGUAGGGUUACCCGCUGAACUUAAGCAUAUCAAUAAGCGGAGGA
rnacentral:misc_RNA from 1 species